CAAAUACUCCCUCCGUCCGGAAAUACUUGUCAUCAAAAUGGAUAAAAGGAAAUGCAUCUAGACGUGUUUUAGUUUUAGAUACAUCUCUUUUUAUCCAUUUUGAUGACAAGUAUUUUCGGACGGAGGGAGUAGAAA
rnacentral:pre_miRNA from 1 species